UCUCCGUUGGUGAACCAGCGGAGGGAUCAUUGCUGGAAGCGUCUCACGGCGCACCCAGAUACCCUUUGUGAACCUAUACCCUUCUGUUGCCUCGGCGCAGGCUGGGCGCUUCCACACGCCCCCACGCAGGCCUCAACCCCCUGUGCGGAGCCAGCCGGCCGGUGGCCCACAACCAAACUCUUGUUUUUACAACCCGUCUCUCUGAGCAACCAAAACAAAUGAAUCAAAACUUUCAACAACGGAUCUCUUGGUUCUGGCAUCGAUGAAGAACGCAGCGAAAUGCGAUAAGUAAUGUGAAUUGCAGAAUUCAGUGAAUCAUCGAAUCUUUGAACGCACAUUGCGCCCGCUGGUAUUCCAGCGGGCAUGCCUGUUCGAGCGUCAUUUCACCCCUCAAGCUCCGCUUGGUGUUGGGGCACUGCCGCGCCGCUUCGGCGAGGCAGGCCMCCAAAUGCAGUGGCGGGCUCGCCAGGACUCCGAGCGUAGUAGUUAUUCACCUCGCUAUGGACGGACUGGCGGUGCUUUGCCGUUAAACCCCCCAAUUUCUGAAAAGUUGACCUCGGAUCAGGUAGGAAUACCCGCUGAACUUAA
rnacentral:rRNA from 1 species